rnacentral:rRNA from 1 species
AUUGAACGCUGGCGGCAUGCCUUACACAUGCAAGUCGAACGGCAGCACGGGAGCAAUCCUGGUGGCGAGUGGCGAACGGGUGAGUAACGCAUCGGAACGUGCCCAGUCGUGGGGGAUAGCCCGGCGAAAGCCGGAUUAAUACCGCAUACGACCUGAGGGUGAAAGCGGGGGACCUUUCGGGGCCUCGCGCGAUUGGAGUGGUCGGUGUCAGAUUAGGUAGUUGGUGGGGUAAAGGACCACCAAGCCGACGAUCUGUGGCUGGUCUGAGAGGACGACCAGACACACUGGGACUGAGACACGGCCCAGACUCCUAGGGGAGGCAGCAGUGGGGAAUUUUGGACAAUGGGCGCAAGCCCGAUCCAGCCAUGCCGCGUGCGGGAAGGAGGCCUUCGGGUUGUAAACCGCUUUUGUCGGGGAAGAAAUGCUCCGGGAUAAUACCCUGGGGAGAUGACGGUACCCGAAGAAUAAGCACCGGCUAACUACGUGCCAGCAGCCGCCGUAACAC